rnacentral:rRNA from 1 species
AUUGAACGCUGGCGGCAGGCUUAACACAUGCAAGUCAAGCGGAGAUGAGGUGCUUGCACCUUAUCUUAGCGGCGGACGGGUGAGUAAUGCUUAGGAAUCUGCCUAUUAGUGGGGGACAACAUUCCGAAAGGAAUGCUAAUACCGCAUACGACCUACGGGAGAAAGCAGGGGAUCUUCGGACCUUGCGCUAAUAGAUGAGCCUAAGUCGGAUUAGCUAGUUGGUGGGGUAAAGGCCUACCAAGGCGACGAUCUGUAGCGGGUCUGAGAGGAUGAUCCGCCACACUGGGACUGAGACACGGCCCAGACUCCUACGGGAGGCAGCAGUGGGGAAUAUUGGACAAUGGGGGGAACCCUGAUCCAGCCAUGCCGCGUGUGUGAAGAAGGCCUUAUGGUUGUAAAGCACUUUAAGCGAGGAGGAGGCUACUGAGACUAAUACUCUUGGAUAGUGGACGUUACUCGCAGAAUAAGCACCGGCUAACUCUGUGCCAGCCGCCGCCGUAAUAC